rnacentral:lncRNA from 1 species
CUGACUAGAGAACAAACUACCAAUUAACGAGCGAGGAAACAGGGCCAGAGAAUUGGAACAAAAUACAAGGCUGCCUCUGAAAGGAAUAUCUUUGUGCUGAUGUGUCCAUCAAGAGAACAUACACAGAAGUGACACUUGCCAGUAAUUUGCAAGCAGAUGGAACUUCAAUAUGGCAAUAGAGAAAGAAUCAAUUAGACCAGAGUCUCCUCAGGAAGACUUUCUAUAGGUGGACGGUCCCCUGGAGAGCCCGCUGUGUUGGAAGAUGUAGAAUAUUCAUAUAUCUGGUGAGCAUCUGCUAGAUGCCAGGGUUGGGGAGAGUCAAGUUGAAGCAAGCAUGAACCCUCAAGGACCUACCAUUUCAAGGCAAGAAAUAGAUACAAAUACAGCGUAAUUAUCUCUCCAAUUAAAGAGCAACCAAGGGACAACUGAACUGGAGGUUCUGCAGAAUUACAACUAAGCACGCAGCCGAGGAAUCUACUCAGCUUUGAUCUCUUAUCGCUCUGCACACACAGCCCUUUCUCUGUAAGGCUAGCUGCUCUCAGCAUCACUGUGUCUAAUCAAACGUGUCACACCUCCACUGAGAAAAUAUUUACUGGAUAGCUACUAGACAUAAGGAUGCAGAAAUGAAUUAGAAAAAUUCCUCGCCCUUGUUCAAAGCUAUGCUGGCUCUUAGAACAUCUGAGCCCCCACUGUUUCAUCUUUAGAGGAUCCCAGCUGCUGGGGUGUGAGGCCAGUGCUGGAGCCAGCAGUCUCUGACCCAGAAGGGACCUGAGGUGCUAAAGAAAAACACAGAGAGGACGGUGCCACUGGAAGUCAUGCAGCCGCAAGUCAAGAAAUGUCAUGAGUGGCUCCUCUCCAGAAACUAGGAGAGGAGCAUGGGGCAGGUUUUCUCCUAGUGCCUUCAGAGACACAUGGCCCUGCCGACACCUUGAGUUUGGAUUUUUGGCCUCCAGAACUGGGUACAAGCUGGAAAAGGGGAAAAUGAAUCAUGCUACAGGCCAAGUGUCCAUCACUGAUUCCCAGAGAUGCCCUUUGUGUGGUAGGCACUUCCAUGUGGACUCGCUACAGAGUUUGGAGUUCCUGAACAACAUGGACAGUGUUAAUUUGGAUUCCAUGCUUCAUGGCACAGAAUUGGAGCACUAACUACUCAGUGAUGACUUUCUCUUCCUCUAGCUAAGGUGAUCAACAAGUUUCCUUGUUCUUUCUCCAAGUAGUAGAAGAAAGUAAAGGUCAUAAGACCCUAAUUCCAGAGGGCCCUACCCUAUAACCAGAAGGAAGAACUAUUGCACAGAGAAUCUAAGAAGAAUCUAGACAGACAGCCCUUGCUGGAUUUCUCCACUCUGUUAGCAUUCGAUCAUUUGCCUUUUGUCCAGUCAUAUUUCUGCAUGGCUGUCCAUACUUUGUUGAACCUAAGCACAAAAUGGAAAGUUUUCCCUGUAUCUUUGGGUCGUCAU